CUUUUUAUUUUAUUUUUCUUUU
rnacentral:sRNA from 1 species